UUACUUCUUCCUGUGGACCUUUUUGUUUUUAUUUUUACACCCAUUUCCACACAAAAAUGUUAGCUUUCUAGCUAACAUGCUACCGAACAGAUUAGUUUAGCACAGCAUGAAUUUUAGCUAACAUGAGCUUAAAAUGGACAUUUCAUCUUUAUAUCACAGCAUUUUGCCUGAAGUUGUAAAUAGCUGUUUUUUUGUAUGCUUUUUACAUAUUAACACUAGCUUGCUGCUAGCUGAAAUUCAGUCGGUUAGUUACACAAGAUGGCGAUGUCUGUCUUACCUCAGGGGCUACAAGCGCGUUACUGCUGCUGCUUUCUGAGAGAAGUGUUUUAUGUGACUGUGAAGUUGUUUGUCAUCAGAAUGAUCGUUUUAACUGUUUAACAGAGAAGGUUUUCUUAUAAAAUACAUUAAAUCAGCUCUUCACUUUAUUGCUGUGUGCCUCAGUGUGUUAAUUCUGAGGGGUAUAAUUCAGAAAAAAACUGUUUUUCCAUGUGUUUCCAGUACUACACACAUCACUAGAGGAUAACCAGACAUUCAAUGGCCUAGAUGGCAGUGGAGUUUUCACAGAGAUGGACUCGUUCCUGGUGUCCACCCCGUGCGUUCUGUGUGAGUACUUUGUGCUAUUUUUGUGAAUAUUCAUAGGUCAGAUGCAUGACAACUUGUCACAAAGAUGUAUUCUGUUUUUGAUAAAUAGUUUGUUCAUAUUUCAGCUCAAUGUUUGUUCAUAUUGCAGCCCUUACCACCAAAUCUCUCAGAGAGUUAGAGGAUCUGAAUGUGUCACAGGUCUGAAUUUGGUGUCGCAGGAAGCUAUUUUUUUCUAAUCUCUAUACUUUAAAAUUAUACUUUUUUUUUAACCUUUACAACGUUUACAAAUAUCGCUGAUACUACUUUAGAUAAAACAAUCGUAAUGUUGCGCUGUCGCUAAGUUUUCAUCAGAUCUUACAAACAUCCAUGACUAGCUUGUAGGGCGCUAGCAUCACCUUGCCGCUAGCCUGGUUUACAUUUCACAUUUAUCUCAUUUACUGCUGUUUUAAAGGUGAAUAUGUCGGUUGUUUAUCCGCUUUUGAGUGUGGAUGAGGAUUCGCUCGAUUUGCAUAUGGUACUGUUGGAAUUGGAGGCCGUGGAGAAACAGAUCCGCGGCCUACUCGACAAGCAGGCCAGGUUGCACAAGCGAAGAACCGCACUGGAAACAGCUUGUACUACCACAUACAAAUCCAAGAUAAGCACACACUCCCAGCCCCUCUAUGCCGUGUGUUUCUCUGUGCAUGGACUGUGCACCCAAGACAUAUCCAGCCCAGGUCUUUGUCACGCCAGCGCCGACACAUCACAGACCUUGGGUGCACCAGCAGCGGAAGGUGCAGGACAGACCCCAAGUGUGUACCUCUCCCCCUCCACCACCCCCAGUCUUAGAAAUUCCAACCAGGAACCGCUUCGCCCCUCUCCAUCAGACCAGACCAAAUGCCGUGAUCGUCAGGGACUCCAUUGUGCGGAACGUCUGCGUUGCUUCAUCUAAGGGUAAGGUGCGCACACAUUGUUUCUCUGGUGCUUGUGUCCUUGAUGUCACAGGUACCAGGGAUCCUGAAGAAGGACGUGAGCAUUGGAGCGGUCGUGCUGCACGUGGGGGCAAACAACAUCAGGCUGCGGCAGACGGAGGUUCUGAAGAGGGACUUCGCCAGCCUGAUUGAGACGCUACGAAGCAGAUCACCCACCAUGUAGAUCAUCGUCUCUGGACCUCUUCCCACACACAGACGUGGAACUGAAAAGUUCAGUAGAUUUCUUGCUUUGAAUGACUGGUUAGUUUCUUGGUGUAAUGCAGGGGUUCCCAAACUUUUCCAGGGCAAAGCCCCCAAAUGGCAUUAGCAUUUGAUCGAGGCCCCCCUUCUGCAAGAUGUCUUUAAAACACAUUAAAAAUACAGACUUCUGAAUAUAUCCCCCUUUUUUAUGUUGAUGUUUUGUCUGUUUAGCAAUUCGAAAGUUAGGUAUAGCAAAUGUGAUUUUAAUAUGUAUUGGUACAAAUAACAUGUUACAGUAAUGCAUAUAAUAUAUAAAAAUAAUCAUGUAUUAAUUUAUUUUUCACACCAAAUUGUUGAGGCCCCCCUGGCAGCCCCCACUUUGAAAACCACUGGUGUAAUGAACACUAUCUGCUGUUUGUUUAUAACUGGAAUCUGUUCUGGGAGCGUCCUAGGUUGUUUCGUCCUGAUGGCUGGCACCCCAGCAGCCUCGGAGCGGAACUGCUGACAGACAGCAUCUCCAAGGCACUACACUCCAAGUGACUGCCUACCCAAUUUCAGCAUUGGACUCAUUUCCAUCUUUUUUGGCCUCUCCUUCACUUACUGUUUGGAAGUCACUGCUUGCAUCUGAUUCAGCAACUGUCAUUCUGUAUUUCUGUUUCAUUGCUUACAUUUUGAACCCUUAGCAAUAAGUUUUUCCAUUUGUGUAUUCAAGUUUGUUUUUCCUUGAUUUAAUGUGCUUGUGUGGGAAUUUGCUGUGUGACAAUUAUUUUUUAUAUGGGAGUAUGCAAAGACUGCUGCUUAUAAACAAUAUGUCAUUAAUUACAGUUUUUAAUCAGUUAAUAUAUAACUGCACAAUGGUGGAUUCUUUCACUAUUGCAUGAAUAGGUGCACUGUGACUUAGAUUAUGAAGCACACAUUAGAUUGACAGUAUUUAAAUGCCAUAGUAGUUGUGGGGAAAAUAAUUUAAUGAACAAAAAUGACAAGGUGUCAGAUAUUUUUAUUAAUUUUAAAUACAAUAGAAUUAUUAUAGUAUAAAUAUAAACAGGUUUAAUUGUAUUUCAAUAUAAAGGCCAUGUUUUACAGAAUAUUGAGUAGUUUCUAAACCAAUAUUAAGAAAAAUAUUGUUCCAUAGUAGCUAUUAAUUAUUUUUAUUAGUAAAACCAUAGCAACCACAAGUAUACAUGGUUUUUGUUUUUUAUUUUUACUAUGGUUUAUUUGCAAUAAAACCACAGUAAUGUCACUCUCCAAAAAAAAAAAAAAAAAAACAUGGUUUCUGCAUAAAGUCCAUUGUCAGAGAUAAUUUAAGGGAUGUUUUUAAUGAAUAACCACAUACCUUAAAGUUAAAUCCAUAGCGUUGUCUGCCAGUGAACGUUAUAAACCGGAUAAAAAUUUGGACGUCCUCCUAACAUCCAUCAGCGAGUGUUACAAAGCUGACCUAAGUGGACGUUCGCAACGUCUGGCGGACGUCCCCUGUUUGCUGGGAAGAUUCUUUUUUUUUUUUUUCCUUUUUUGCCUUUUGUCAGUACAUAGCAAAAUCCUGUGUGUUAAAUUAACACUUCUACUAUAAUAUAGUACAGAGUAACACUGAAUCAUUGUUGCAGUUAAUUAGAUAAUUAAGUGAUUAAGUGAUCAUUGACCAUUAGUGAUAACACCUGCUGUUAACAAGCAGACUCACUGCAGGAAAGAUGAACAAGAACAGAAAAAAGAGAAGAGACAAAUGACUUACAGCCUUAGAUGAAAUCAACUGUAAAAAAAGAGCACAUUAAAUCUCUCAAGAUCUCACCAGAGGAUGAUUAAAAUUUCCAAAAACAGCAUUAGCUUAGUUUUCCUUUUCUCUUAUACAUGUAUAAAAGUUCUUAUUGAGAAUUAACAAAUGUUUAGCUCUAGUUAAUGUUUUACUGUAAAUAAGUUCAGUUUGAAGUCACCAUUAUGGUUAGCGUUUUUUUGUUGUUGUUGUUGUUCUGCACUUGACCCUGGACUUUUAUUAAAUUAAUUCUCUUUCAGCAAUUGCAGGAAUGUUUCCCUAAAAGCACUUGUGCAUUGGUGAAGAAAUAGAUUGACGAAUAAGCAAUUCAGCUGAAGAUGUCUGCUUUUAUGACAUUUAAAUGCCUAUAAUAAAAUCAUGAGGUUGAGGCAUUAAUGAUUGUUAAAAAUGUUCUAUUAAACAAAUGCAGCUGCUGUGAUAGAAAAAUCACUGCAAUGCAUUGGCACAAGAUGAACAGGGAUGUUCUCUCAAAGACGGAACAUCAUCUUUUGUGUAAGAAUUUUUAACUGAACACCGAGGUACGCUUAAGGUACGUUUACACAUAAAGUGAUAACACACUUAUAAUCAGUGACUAGACUUUGGAUGAGAUGAGAAUCAAGCCACUUCUUGAUGACUGACACCAUUAAUAAGCAGCCAACAUCACCUAAUCUCUUUUUAUCUCAGCAUUCUUUGCCACAACAAAUGUGUUUUAUAAACACACUGUUACAAUGGUCAGAGGAAAACUAACAUUAAAAAACAAGAGCCAAGUGCCCAACUAAAGGGAACACUAAUCAACAUAUAUGGUGACUUCAAACAAACUAUUAUUUUCAAUAUAACAUCAAUAUUACCUAGAGUUAAACCCUUUGGUACAUGUUUGAAAGAACUAAAGGUAAACUAGUAAUAAGUACAGAUGGUAAUGCUGUUUUUGGAGUUGUUAAAUCAUUCUCUGAUAAGAGCUUGAGAAAUUUAAUGUGUUCUUUUAUUUGCAGGUGAUGUCAUCUAAGACUGUGUGGCUGUCAGUUGUAGUUACUGUAUGUCUGCUCAUCUCUUCUCUUUUUUCUGUUCUUGUUAAUCUUUCCUUCAGUGGUUCUACUUGUUAACAGCAGGUGUCAUCACUCAUCGUCAAUCAUCACUUAAUUAUCUGCAACACUGCUUCAGUGUUACUUUUUACUCUCUGUAGAAUAGACUUAUGUAGACACAGAGAAGUGUUAAUUUAACACAGGAUUUUGCUGUGUAGUCUCUGACCCAGCCUAAAUUUUGUCUUACUUGGCUCCAAAAUAAAAUCAUAUUUCUACCAUAUUUCUACCAAACCCAACAUUUACCAAAUAAAUGCUUCUACCAUAUUUCUACCAAACCCAACAUUUACCAAAGAAAUGCUUUCAUUUAUAGAGCUGUCACACUAUCACUCAUGCACUACACACACUGUGCACACAGUAGCAUCUCUCUGUUGGAUCUCAAAAGAAUAAAUAUUAAAUAUUAACUUUUGCAUUCAUUGCACAUAUUUUUAAUCACAAAAUAAUGUUCUUCAUUGUUAUUAAAAGAAAACCUUCCCAGAAAAUGAUUAUAGUAAAAUGCAGCUUAAAGCAACUCAAAGCUGCACUAUCAUAGUAGUAUUGCACUAAUAUUUGCUGUAAUGAUUUGUCAGUAAAAGAAAAAUACUUAUUUUUUCCAGCAGCCCUUUUUGGGGGGGAAAAAACCCUUGGUGUUUUAAAGUCUUUUUCCUUUCUCCACAAGAUGGUGUAGUCGGUUAUUUUAUUGUGGGCCAAGUACUAGGACCCUGUUCACCUGCUCCAUUACUUUGCACAAUAAUAUAGAUUAUAACUGUUCUUCAAUAAUACAUACAUAGUACUUUUUAUAUGUAAUGCAUUGCCUUAAAAAAGAUGGUACAGAUUUGUGAUCUUAUUGCAGUGUUUCCAAUCUUUGGAGCUUCAGUAAUGAUUAUUCGAUCAAGCUGAUUAGUAUAAUUUUCAACUGAUCAUCAAUACAAUGCCUUGUUCCUCUUAAUGAAGAAAAUGUAAGUUGCAGUCGGGCUAUAAAUGCAAUUUCGUAAUAAUGUGUGACCUGUAAUAUAUUUGUCUCCAGCAUGGAGAACAAAUUCUGCUGCAAUGAAUAAAAUGGGCUCUGGACAAGUUAUUUUAUAAUGGGGGUGUUUGUGAAGGGAUAAUGUAAAUACUUCAUUUGCUUACACAGUUUCAUGUUUAAAUGACAACUAUAACCAUGA